ACCUUACGAGAAAUCAAAGUGCUUGGGCUCCAGGGGGAGUAUGGUCGCAAGGCUGAAACUUAAAGAAAUUGACGGAAGGGCACCACCAGGGGUGGAGCCUGCGGCUUAAUUUGACUCAACACGGGGAAACUCACCAGGUCCAGACACAAUGAGGAUUGACAGAUUGAGAGCUCUUUCUUGAUUUUGUGGGUGGGUGGUGCAUGGCCGUUCUUAGUUGGUGGAGUGAUUUGUCUGCUUAAUUGCGAUAACGAACGAGACCUUAACCUGCUAAAUAGCCCGUAUUGCUUUGGCAGUACGCUGGCUUCUUACAGGGACUAUCGGCUCAAGCCUAUGGAAGUUUGAGGCAAUAUCAGGUCUGUGAUGCCCUUAUAUGUUCUGGGCUUCGCCCGCGCUAUACUGUUUU
rnacentral:rRNA from 1 species